rnacentral:rRNA from 1 species
AAUAGAUACCCUGGUAGUCCACGCCGUAAACGAUGGAUGCUAGCUAUUGGGGGGAAUCGACCCCCUCCGAAGCGAAGCUAACGCGUUAAGCAUCCCGCCUGAGUAGUACGAGCGCAAGCUUAAAACUCAAAGGAAUUGACGGGGACCCGCACAAGCGGUGGAGCGUGUGGUUUAAUUCGAUGGUAAACGAAGAACCUUACCAAGGUUUGACAUCCCGGUAGCCGUUCUCCGAAAGGAGAAUUUCAUUUAGUUGGACCGGUGACAGGUGAUGCAUGGCCGUCGUCAGCUCGUGUCGUGAGAUGUUGGGUUAAGUCCCGCAACGAGCGCAACCCUUAUGAUUUAGUUGGAUUUUUCUAAACAGACUGCCCUGGUAACAGGGAGGAAGGAGGGGAUGAUGUCAGGUCAGUAUUUCCCUUACACCUUGGGGCGACACACGCGCUACAAUGGCCGGUACAAUGGGCAGCUAAGCCGCGAGGUGAGCAAAUCCCAUCAAAGCCGGUCCCAGUUCGGAUUGCAGGCUGAAACCCGCUGCAUGAAGCCGGAAUCGCUAGUAA